rfam:Corchorus olitorius cultivar O-4 contig17015, whole genome shotgun sequence.
AUUUCAUGGUGUGGGCAUGAAGCAAUAAGUCUAUUGAAUAUUUCCCUGUAUUCAUAUAAGCUCUCAUCAGAAUUUUGUCUGAUUCCACUGAUUUCCUUUCUGAUGUU